rnacentral:rRNA from 1 species
GGGUUGUGAGGUUAAGCGACUAAGCGUACACGGUGGAUGCCCUGGCAGUCAGAGGCGAUGAAGGACGUGCUAAUCUGCGAAAAGCGUCGGUAAGGUGAUAUGAACCGUUAUAGCCGGCGAUGUCCGAAUGGGGAAACCCAGUGUGAUUCGUCACACUAUCGUUAACUGAAUACAUAGGUUAACGAGGCGAACCGGGGGAACUGAAACAUCUAAGUACCCCGAGGAAAAGAAAUCAACCGAGAUUCCCCCAGUAGCGGCGAGCGAACGGGGAGCAGCCCAGAGUCUGAAUCAGCUUGUGUGUUAGUGGAACGGUCUGGAAAGUCCGACGGUACAGGGUGAUAGUCCCGUACACCAAAAUGCACAGGCUGUGAACUCGAAGAGUAGGGCGGGACACGUGGUAUCCUGUCUGAAUAUGGGGGGACCAUCCUCCAAGGCUAAAUACUCCUGACUGACCGAUAGUGAACCAGUACCGUGAGGGAAAGGCGAAAAGAACCCCGGCGAGGGGAGUGAAAAAGAACCUGAAACCGUGUACGUACAAGCAGUGGGAGCACCUUCGGGUGUGACUGCGUACCUUUUGUAUAAUGGGUCAGCGACUUAUAUUCUGUAGCAAGGUUAACCGUAUAGGGGAGCCGCAGGGAAACCGAGUCUUAACUGGGCGUUAAGUUGCAGGGUAUAGACCCGAAACCCGGUGAUCUAGCCAUGGGCAGGUUGAAGGUUGGGUAACACUAACUGGAGGACCGAACCGACUAAUGUUGAAAAAUUAGCGGAUGACUUGUGGCUGGGGGUGAAAGGCCAAUCAAACCGGGAGAUAGCUGGUUCUCCCCGAAAGCUAUUUAGGUAGCGCCUCGUGAACUCAUCUUCGGGGGUAGAGCACUGUUUCGGCUAGGGGGUCAUCCCGACUUACCAACCCGAUGCAAACUACGAAUACCGAAGAAUGUUAUCACGGGAGACACACGGCGGGUGCUAACGUCCGUCGUGAAGAGGGAAACAACCCAGACCGCCAGCUAAGGUCCCAAAGUCAUGGUUAAGUGGGAAACGAUGUGGGAAGGCACAGACAGCCAGGAUGUUGGCUUAGAAGCAGCCAUCAUUUAAAGAAAGCGUAAUAGCUCACUGGUCGAGUCGGCCUGCGCGGAAGAUGUAACGGGGCUAAACCAUGCACCGAAGCUGCGGCAGCGACACUAUGUGUUGUUGGGUAGGGGAGCGUUCUGUAAGCCUGCGAAGGUGACCUGUGAGGGUUGCUGGAGGUAUCAGAAGUGCGAAUGCUGACAUAAGUAACGAUAAAGCGGGUGAAAAGCCCGCUCGCCGGAAGACCAAGGGUUCCUGUCCAACGUUAAUCGGGGCAGGGUGAGUCGACCCCUAAGGCGAGGCCGAAAGGCGUAGUCGAUGGGAAACAGGUUAAUAUUCCUGUACUUGGUGUUACUGCGAAGGGGGGACGGAGAAGGCUAUGUUAGCCGGGCGACGGUUGUCCCGGUUUAAGCAUGUAGGCUGAUUGUCCAGGCAAAUCCGGAUAAUCAAGGCUGAGGUGUGAUGACGAGGCACUACGGUGCUGAAGUAACAAAUGCCCUGCUUCCAGGAAAAGCCUCUAAGCAUCAGGUAACAUUAAAUCGUACCCCAAACCGACACAGGUGGUCAGGUAGAGAAUACCAAGGCGCUUGAGAGAACUCGGGUGAAGGAACUAGGCAAAAUGGUGCCGUAACUUCGGGAGAAGGCACGCUGGUGUGUAGGUGAAGUCCCUGCGGAUGGAGCUGAGACCAGUCGAAGAUACCAGCUGGCUGCAACUGUUUAUUAAAAACACAGCACUGUGCAAACACGAAAGUGGACGUAUACGGUGUGACGCCUGCCCGGUGCCGGAAGGUUAAUUGAUGGGGUUAUCCGUAAGGAGAAGCUCUUGAUCGAAGCCCCGGUAAACGGCGGCCGUAACUAUAACGGUCCUAAGGUAGCGAAAUUCCUUGUCGGGUAAGUUCCGACCUGCACGAAUGGCGUAAUGAUGGCCAGGCUGUCUCCACCCGAGACUCAGUGAAAUUGAACUCGCUGUGAAGAUGCAGUGUACCCGCGGCAAGACGGAAAGACCCCGUGAACCUUUACUAUAGCUUGACACUGAACAUUGAGCCUUGAUGUGUAGGAUAGGUGGGAGGCUUUGAAGCGUGGACGCCAGUCUGCGUGGAGCCAACCUUGAAAUACCACCCUUUAAUGUUUGAUGUUCUAACGUUGGCCCCUUACCGGGGUUGCGGACAGUGUCUGGUGGGUAGUUUGACUGGGGCGGUCUCCUCCCAAAGCGUAACGGAGGAGCACGAAGGUUAGCUAAUCCUGGUCGGACAUCAGGAGGUUAGUGCAAUGGCAUAAGCUAGCUUGACUGCGAGCGUGACGGCGCGAGCAGGUGCGAAAGCAGGUCAUAGUGAUCCGGUGGUUCUGAAUGGAAGGGCCAUCGCUCAACGGAUAAAAGGUACUCCGGGGAUAACAGGCUGAUACCGCCCAAGAGUUCAUAUCGACGGCGGUGUUUGGCACCUCGAUGUCGGCUCAUCACAUCCUGGGGCUGAAGUAGGUCCCAAGGGUAUGGCUGUUCGCCAUUUAAAGUGGUACGCGAGCUGGGUUUAGAACGUCGUGAGACAGUUCGGUCCCUAUCUGCCGUGGGCGCUGGAGAAUUGAGGGGGGCUGCUCCUAGUACGAGAGGACCGGAGUGGACGCAUCACUGGUGUUCGGGUUGUCAUGCCAAUGGCACUGCCCGGUAGCUAAAUGCGGAAGAGAUAAGUGCUGAAAGCAUCUAAGCACGAAACUUGCCCCGAGAUGAGUUCUCCCUGAGACUUUAAGUCUCCUGAAGGAACGUUGAAGACGACGACGUUGAUAGGCCGGGUGUGUAAGCGCAGCGAUGCGUUGAGCUAACCGGUACUAAUGAACCGUGAGGCUUAACCUUACAACGCCGAAG